CCUACGGGUGGCAGCAGUGAGGAAUAUUGGUCAAUGGUCGCGAGCCUGAACCAGCCAAGUCGCGUGAAGGAUGACUGCCCUACGGGUUGUAAACUUCUUUUAUCAGGGAAUAAAGUGAGGCACGUGUGCCUUUUUGUAUGUACUUUAUGAAUAGGCUCGGCUAACUCCGUGCCAGCAGCCGCGGUAAUACGGAGGAUCCGAGCGUUAUCCGGAUUUUUUGGGUUUAAAGGGAGCGUAGAUGGGUUGUUAAGUCAGUGGUGAAAGUUUGCGGUUCAACCGUAAAAUUGCCAUUGAUACUGGCAGUCUUGAGUACAGAUGAGGUAGGCGGAAUGCGUGGUGUAGCGGUGAAAUGCUUAGAUAUCACGCAGAACUCCGAUUGCGAAGGCAGCUUACUAAACUGCCACUGACAUUGAUGCACGAAAGUGUGGGUAUCAAACAGGAUUAGAUACCCGGGUAGUC
rnacentral:rRNA from 1 species